rnacentral:tRNA from 1 species
GGUGGUGUGGCCUAGUGGUAGAGCACUUGCCUAGCCUGUGCAAGAUCCUGGGCUCAAUCCCUAGCACCACAC